GAUAAACGCUAGCGGCAGGCUUAACACAUGCAAGUCGAGGGGCAGCAUAGAUUGUAGCAAUACAAUUGGUGGCGACCGGCGCACGGGUGCGUAACGCGUAUGCAACCUACCCGUCACAGGGGGAUAAUCCGGAGAAAUCUGGUCUAAUACCCCAUAACAUAUGGACCGGCAUCGGUUCAUGUUGAAAUUUUCGGAGGUGACGGAUGGGCAUGCGUAGCAUUAGCUUGUUGGUGAGGUAACGGCUCACCAAGGCGACGAUGCUUAGGGGGGCUGAGAGGUUUUCCCCCCACACUGGUACUGAGACACGGACCAGACUCCUACGGGAGGCAGCAGUGAGGAAUAUUGGUCAAUGGGCGCAAGCCUGAACCAGCCAUGCCGCGUGCAGGAUGACGGCUCUAUGAGUUGUAAACUGCUUUUGUACGAGGGUAAAGUGGGUUACGUGUAACCUUUUGGAAGUAUCGUACGAAUAAGGAUCGGCUAACUCCGUGCCAGCCGCCGCGGUAA
rnacentral:rRNA from 1 species